AUUGAACGCUGGCGGCAUGCCUUACACAUGCAAGUCGAACGGUAACAGGUCUUCGGAUGCUGAUGAGUGGCGAACGGGUGAGUAAUACAUCGGAACGUGCCCGAGAGUGGGGGAUAACGAGGCGAAAGCUUUGCUAAUACCGCAUACGAUCUCAGGAUGAAAGCAGGGGACCGCAAGGCCUUGCGCUCACGGAGCGGCCGAUGGCAGAUUAGGUAGUUGGUGGGAUAAAAGCUUACCAAGCCGACGAUCUGUAGCUGGUCUGAGAGGACGACCAGCCACACUGGGACUGAGGCACGGCCCAGACUCCUACGGGAGGCAGCAGUGGGGAAUUUUGGACAAUGGGCGCAAGCCUGAUCCAGCCAUGCCGCGUGCAGGAUGAAGGCCUUCGGGUUGUAAACUGCUUUUGUACGGAACGAAAAGACUCUGGUUAAUACCUGGGGUCCAUGACGGUACCGUAAGAAUAAGCACCGGCUAACUACGUGCCAGCCGCCGCCGUAAAAC
rnacentral:rRNA from 1 species